rnacentral:lncRNA from 1 species
GAAGGAAGUCCUAAGACAACCAUCAGCUCUGUUUUUAGGAGAAGAGGGCAGCUUGACAAGCCCUGGGUGGAGUUGCCCCAGCUCAGAACACCAGGAAGCUGGGAUGCCAGUCAUUUCAAGAUCCACUUACUAGGAAAGUUUGAGAUUCUGUUGAUCAUUUGAAAGUGCACCUUGCAUAAAUCCUUCUUUGACAUACUAUUUUUUCAUGCCAAUAGGCAUGUUGACGUGAACACAAUGUUUCCCCAUGCUGGCUUCCCAGGAUCAAUAGUUAGGACAGUCUAAUAAGGUUUUGUCUGUGUUUGACACACAGUUCCUUCUGCAUCUAGGGGUGGGUAGAAGGGUGCCAUGUGGAUUAAGCCAUUUAGGCCUGGGGUUGGGGUGUAGGGAUAGUUUUCCCUUUACUUCACACACACAUGUUGAGCUCCUUCCUGUUGCGUGUGGCGUCUCACCCCUGCCCAGGGUCACAGCCUCGUUGCUGUGAAGCCUUUGAGGUUCCUGUUCCUAUUUUUUUUUUUAUUUUUAAUUUAUUACGUAUUUUCCUCAAUUACAUUUCCAAUGCUAUCCCAAAAGUCUCCCAUACCCUCCCCCCCCCCCCACUUCCCUCCCCACCCAUUCCCAUUUUUUUGGCCCUGGCGUUCCCCUGUACUGGGGCAUAUAAAGUUUACGUUUUAAUCUCUUGCCUCACCUCCUCUCGGUUUCCCUUCUUUCCUACUAGUAUUAUUUUUGAAUGCUCUGAAUGCUGGUUUUUAAAAAAAAUUGUCUGAAACAGAAAUGUAUUUUCAGAAUAAUUCACAAAAGCGCAGGUCUCACACUGAAACUUCAACUCCUUCUUCCCCUUUCUCCUCCUCCUCUUCUCUGAAUGCCAGGGAGAAUGCAGUUGAAGGAGAUGCGCAGUCACAAUGACCAACUCUAAAGACAAAAGCCCUCAGCAUUACGUAUCCGGUUAUGUGAACAGCUUGACUGAGUAGGGUUAAGAUGUUGCAGAUGUCCUGCUUCUUUAAGGUGGCUUUUCAGGGCUGCUCAGGGAGGUAAGGAUGGAGUGCAAGUGGGAGACAUCUUUGGCCCACUCCCUGAGCUUAAGGCUAAAGUCACACAGUUGUGCAUCCAUUUUAGGGACAGCUCAUCAGUGUCCUCAUAGUGGCAGUGCUGCCAGGCUGUUUGCCUUUGUUUUCUUCAGCUGCUCGCUGUCUCACGCACUACCCUUCAGCUCCAUUACUGCUUUCUUCCCACACUGCUGCUUGCUGCCGAGACUUGGCAUCAAGGGCUUCCAAGUGCUCUGUUUGCUCUUCUCUCCAUUUAGGGAUACUCCAGUCUCUGAUCGCAGUAGACCUGCUUCUGAGAUAGCCGAAUAACUGUUUGUUGGCCCAUUACUUUCCUGGUAGUAUUCGCCAUUUUCCUUCCAUCAGCAGCAUCAGCAGUUGGUUUAUGUUAGCUUUUAACACUUGAGGCUGUACUUUCUUUUAUAGAAAUGUGUGUAAUUUUUAUUUUUUCCUAAUGGAUUUAAACUUAUAAAUCAUUAAAACUAUUUGUGCU